rnacentral:rRNA from 1 species
UACAGAGGUCCCAAGCGUUGUUCGGAUUCACUGGGCGUAAAGGGUGCGUAGGCGGUCGGGUAAGUCUGAUGUGAAAUCUCACAGCUUAACUGUGAAACUGCAUUGGAUACUAUCCGGCUCGAGGAAUGGAGGGGAGACUGGAAUACUUGGUGUAGCAGUGAAAUGCGUAGAUAUCAAGUGGAACACCAGUGGCGAAGGCGGCCUGCUGGGCUGCACCUGACGCUGAGCCGCGAAAGCCAGGGGAGCGAACGGG